GAAAUCUGCCUCCAAGCUCUUCACUGUACAUGGAUAUAUUGAUUGCAUAAAUUUGCACAAGAUGUUUGUUAUGCUUUGGGCAAGUUAAGGUCGCAUACCGUUCCUAUCUUACACACAUUUAAGAUAACAGCAAUCAAAUAUUUUCGAUUUUGUCCCUGAAGGAACAUAGGACAGUAAAACAUAUAUCAUGCUAUCCAGUUUUCGAAGAUUCUAGGAAUACUAUAAUUGAAGCAGACAAGUUUGUAGUACAAGCAAAUAGUCUUCUACAAAUAAACCUAUGAUAUGUACUAAA